rnacentral:rRNA from 1 species
UACGUAGGGGGCGAGCGUUGUCCGGAUUUAUUGGGCGUAAAGAGCUCGUAGGCGGCUUGUCGCGUCGAAUGUGAAAACUCGGGGCUCAACUCCGAGCUUGCAUUCGAUACGGGCAGGCUAGAGUUCGGUAGGGGAGACUGGAAUUCCUGGUGUAGCGGUGAAAUGCGCAGAUAUCAGGAGGAACACCGGUGGCGAAGGCGGGUCUCUGGGCCGAUACUGACGCUGAGGAGCGAAAGCGUGGGGAGCGAACAGG